rnacentral:rRNA from 1 species
UUGUUAGCCGCCGCGGUAAUACGUAGGGUGCAAGCAUUGUCCGGAUUUAUUGGGCGUAAAGAGCUCGUAGGCGGCUUGUCACGUCGGAUGUGAAAACUCGGGGCUCAACCCCGAGCCUGCAUUCGAUACGGGCUAGCUAGAGUGUUGCAGGGGAGACUGGAAUUCCUGGUGUAGCGGUGAAAUGCGCAGAUAUCAGGAGGAACACCGGUGGCGAAGGCGGGUCUCUGGGCAACUACUGACGCUGAGGAGCGAAAGCGUGGGGAGCGAACAGGAUUAGAAACCCGUGUAGUCC